GCAUCUAUCAUGCAGUCGAGCGGAAGAUGGGAGCUUGCUCCCUGAUGUUAGCGGCGGACGGGUGAGUAACACGUGGGUAACCUGCCUGUAAGACUGGGAUAACUCCGGGAAACCGGGGCUAAUACCGGAUGGUUGUUUGAACCGCAUGGUUCAGACAUAAAAGGUGGCUUCGGCUACCACUUACAGAUGGACCCGCGGCGCAUUAGCUAGUUGGUGAGGUAACGGCUCACCAAGGCAACGAUGCGUAGCCGACCUGAGAGGGUGAUCGGCCACACUGGGACUGAGACACGGCCCAGACUCCUACGGGAGGCAGCAGUAGGGAAUCUUCCGCAAUGGACGAAAGUCUGACGGAGCAACGCCGCGUGAGUGAUGAAGGUUUUCGGAUCGUAAAGCUCUGUUGUUAGGGAAGAACAAGUGCCGUUCAAAUAGGGCGGCACCUUGACGGUACCUAACCAGAAAGCCACGGCUAACUACGUGCCAGCAGCCGCGGUAAUACGUAGGUGGCAAGCGUUGUCCGGAAUUAUUGGGCGUAAAGGGCUCGCAGGCGGUUUCUUAAGUCUGAUGUGAAAGCCCCCGGCUCAACCGGGGGAGGGUCAUUGGAAACUGGGGAACUUGAGUGCAGAAGAGGAGAGUGGAAUUCCACGUGUAGCGGUGAAAUGCGUAGAGAUGUGGAGGAACACCAGUGGCGAACGCGACUCUCUGGUCUGUAACUGACGCUGAGAGCGAAAGCGUGGGAGCGACAGAUAGAUACCCUGGUAGUCACGCGUAACGAUGAUUGCUACUGUAGUGGCUCGCCCUUAUGCUGCAGCUACGCAUAGCAUCGCCUGAGGAUACUGUCGCAGACUGCAACUCGAAU
rnacentral:rRNA from 1 species